rnacentral:rRNA from 1 species
GACGAACGCUGGCGGCGUGCUUAACACAUGCAAGUCGAACGGAAAGGCCCUGCUUUUGUGGGGUGCUCGAGUGGCGAACGGGUGAGUAACACGUGAGUAACCUGCCCUUGACUUUGGGAUAACUUCAGGAAACUGGGGCUAAUACCGGAUAGGAGCUCCUGCUGCAUGGUGGGGGUUGGAAAGUUUCGGCGGUUGGGGAUGGACUCGCGGCUUAUCGGCUUGUUGGUGGGGUAGUGGCAUACCAAGGCUUUGACGGGUAGCCGGCCUGAGAGGGUGAACGGCGACAAGGGGACUGAGGUACGGCCCAGACGCCUACGGUAGGCAACAGUGGGAAGUAUUGCACAAUGAGCGGAAGCCUGUUGCAGCAGCGUCGCGGGCGGAAUGACGGCCUUCGGGUUAUGAACCGCUUUCGCCUGAGACGAAGCGGGAGUGACGGUAAUGAGUAAAGAAGCACCGGCUAACUACGUG